rnacentral:lncRNA from 1 species
GAGCAGAACCACCAAGGAUAAUAAACACCCAGGACAGUAGUAUUCUGCCUUUGAGUAACUGUCCACAGCUCCAGUGCCACAGGCACAUUGUUCCAGGGCCUCUGUGGUACUCCUGAUGCCCCUCAGCCACUGUCAAAGAUCCCAGUGGGUGAAGGGGAGGUAAGGAUACUUCUCUCUGAGCUAUAAUGUAUAAG